ensembl:lncRNA
GGCCUGGGAGCGAGCACACUUGAGUGGGAAGUCUGCUUGGUUUGUAUCCCUAAGACGCAGGUUCCCUCCUCUGACUCCUCAUAGGUUGAUGACCAGAGUUUCGAUCUUUCCUGGAUGUUGCCUAAGUUUUUUAUUAGACAAUUGUCCUCCUCCAUGAGGACUACAAGUAGUACUUGUAAGUUCCUGAUUGGAGAGUUUAUAUUAACUCUUUUCCUCACCCUUUCAGUUCUUUGCUCAUGUCCAGGAUAAAGCCUGUGAAAUUAGCCCACCAAAAUGUUCUUAUGAGGAAGGAGAAUCAGG